rnacentral:rRNA from 1 species
GUGAGGAAUAUUGCGCAAUGGAGGCAACUCUGACGCAGCCAUGCCGCGUGCAGGAAGAAGGCGCUACGCGUUGUAAACUGCUUUUAACCGGGAAGAAACCCCAGGACGUGUCCUGGGUUGACGGUACCGGAGGAAUAAGCACCGGCUAACUUCGUGCCAGCAGCCGCGGUAAUACGAAGGGUGCAAGCGUUAUCCGGAUUCAUUGGGUUUAAAGGGUGCGUAGGCGGAGCGUUAAGUCAGUGGUGAAAUCCUGCAGCUUAACUGUAGACUUGCCAUUGAUACUGGCGAUCUUGAGUGCGCUUGAAGUGGGCGGAAUGUGCCGUGUAGCGGUGAAAUGCUUAGAUAUGGCACAGAACACCAAUUGCGAAGGCAGCUCACUAAGGCGAUACUGACGCUGAGGCACGAAAGCGUGGGUAGCGAACAGGAUUAGAUACCCUAGUAGUCC